rnacentral:lncRNA from 1 species
GCGACCAAGCGACGACGGAUACAAGAUCGGCGCAAACUUGACCUUGUUGCCGCAGUUAGUCGGCAAGUCCGUGGGACAGGUCACGAAGGUGGUGGCGUCGCUGGAGACGCAGAUGCGGAUGCGGGUGAGGUAGUCCUGGUACAGCAACGGCCACGCCGUGUACCUCCUCUCGCACUCCACCGAGAAGGAAGAGGACCCCAGAGUGGUCGCCAGCGCCUCCGUGAUAUCUUUCAAGUUGUAGGUAACGCUCGCGUCCGGGACGAUACCUUCCAUGAGCGCAGGAGAAUGAGCCAUGAGUACUAUGCUUAGGAGUCUGGGGUUACUGUAGAGGGUUUACCGCGGGAUUUCAGGGUGGCGAGGAUGUUGGCCUGCUCCCUCAGUAGAAGUGUCCGGUUGAAGUACACCACCUCGCUGAGGCUGGUGCAGUUGCCAUACGUGCACCAGACGUGUUUCCACUGCUCCAUGCCAUUGUUGCUGGGGCAGCUCAGGUUGGGCCAGUACGCGAACAGGUCCUCGAUCAGAUCCACCAGCUGUUCGCGUUCCCCAUUAAUUCCACCCACGUCAAACAACAACUCCAUCAUCAUCAAUCGCCAUGCAUCGAGCUAAUUAAAAGAGGACUCACCGGAUUGAUCAAGAAGCGGCAGUGGCUGUUGCAGUUGGUGAUGGGGUUGCCGGUGCUGCUGUCGUACGUCUCCAACGACUGCACAAGGAAGUCCGCCGCCGGCUCUCCCGUCGUCGGUAUGCAGCAAUUCUCCCCCAGGUUCACGCUUUGGCAGUAACCCCCUGGCCACUGCAAGCAACCACACAGAUUUCAUGCAACAC